rnacentral:rRNA from 1 species
AGCAGCCGCGGUAAUUCCAGCUCCAAUAGCGUAUAUUAAAGCUGUUGCAGUUAAAAAGCUCGUAGUUGAAUUUCGGGGUUAGUAGGUUGGUCAUGCCUCUGGUAUGUACUGGUCUCACUGAUUCCUCCUUCCUGAUGAACCUUAAUGCCAUUAAUUUGGUGUUUUGGGGAAUUUGGACUGUUACUUUGAAAAAAUUAGAGUGUUUAAAGCAAGCUAACGCUUGAAUACAUUAGUAUGGAAUAAUGAAAUAGGACGUUCGAUCCUAUUUUGUUGGUUUCUAGGAUUGACGUAAUGAUUAAUAGGGAUAGUUGGGGGCAUUAGUAUUCAAUUGUCAGAGGUGAAAUUCUUGGAUUUAUUGAAGACUAACUACUGCGAAAGCAUUUGCCAAGGAUGUUUUCAUUAAUCAAGAACGAAAGUUAGGGGAUCGAAGACGAUCAGAUACCGUCGUAGUCUUAACCAUAAACUAUGCCGACUAGGGAUCGGAUGAUGUUAAUUUUUAAUGACUCAUUCGGCGCCUUAC